GACGAACGCUGGCGGCGUGCUUAACACAUGCAAGUCGAGCGGUAAGGCCCUUUCGGGGGUACACGAGCGGCGAACGGGUGAGUAACACGUGGGUGACCUGCCCUCAGCUCUGGGAUAAGCCGUGGGAAACCGGGUCUAAUACCGGAUAUGACUCCAUGACGCAUGUUGUGGGGUAGGAAAGCCUUGUGCGGCUGAGGAUGGG
rnacentral:rRNA from 1 species